UACGGAGGGUGCAAGCGUUGUUCGGAAUUAUUGGGCGUAAAGGGCGCGUAGGCGGUUGUGAUAGUCAGAUGUGAAAUCCUCCGGCUUAACUGGAGAACUGCAUCUGAAACUUCAUAGCUAGAGUACAGGAGAGGGAAACGGAAUUCCCGGUGUAGAGGUGGAAUUCGUAGAUAUCGGGAGGAACACCAGUGGCGAAGGCGGUUUCCUGGCCUGAUACUGACGCUGAGGCGCGAAAGCGUGGGGAGCAAACAGGAUUAGAUACCCUGGUAGU
rnacentral:rRNA from 1 species